rnacentral:rRNA from 1 species
AGGAUCAUUAUUGAAAUAAACCUGAUAAGUUGUUGCUGGCUCUCUAGGGAGCAUGUGCACACUUGUCAUCUUUGUACCUUCACCUGUGCACCUUUUGUAGACUUGAGUAUCUCUCUGAAUGCUUUUGCAUUCAGGAUUGAGGAUUGACUUUCUGUCUCUUCUUAUAUUUUCAAGUCUAUGUUUCUUCAUAUACCCUAUUGUAUGUUCAAGAAUGUAAUUAAUGGGCCUUUGUGCCUAUAAAGUCUAUACAACUUUCAGCAACGGAUCUCUUGGCUCUCGCAUCGAUGAAGAACGCAGCGAAAUGCGAUAAGUAAUGUGAAUUGCAGAAUUCAGUGAAUCAUCGAAUCUUUGAACGCACCUUGCGCUCCUUGGUAUUCCGAGGAGCAUGCCUGUUUGAGUGUCAUUAAUAUAUAUCAACCUUUGGUUGGAUGUGGGUUUGCUGGCCUCUUAAGGUCAGCUCCCCUUAAAUGCAUUAGCGGACAAAAUAUUGCCAACUGUUYAUUGGUGUGAUAAUUUAUCUACACUAUUAACCUGACGCAAUGUUCAGCUUCUAACAGUCCAUUGACUUGGACAAAUUUAUUUUAUUAAUGUGACCUCAAAUCAGGUAGGACUACCCGCUGAACUUAA